UGGAUGCACUGCAGCUGCAAAAAAUAGUUAGGUCUCCCAGGCACCUCUUAUGGACGCAGAGAUUCAUAGUCAACACAAAGAAGCCAUUCAGUCAAUCGUGUGAAUGCCAGAUGAGAAAGAGAUCUCCAGCUCUUGGUCCAUAGCCCUACAUGUCACAGACCCUCAAGUACACAUUCAACCCUCAAUUUUUUGACCUGAAGAAAUUAUAAAUAUGCAAAACAGCUAGCUGGAACAAGUCAAGGACCGUGGAGAAGUAGACAAAAC